UACAGAGGUCUCAAGCGUUGUUCGGAUUCAUUGGGCGUAGAGGGUGCGUAGGCGGCGCGGUAAGUCGGGUGUGAAAUCUCGGAGCUUAACUCCGAAACUGCAUUCGAUACUGCCGUGCUUGAGGACUGGAGAGGAGACUGGAAUUUACGGUGUAGCGGUGAAAUGCGUGGAUAUCGUAAGGAAGACCAGUGGCGAAGGCGGGUCUCUGGACAGUUCCUGACGCUGAGGCACGAAGGUCAGGGGAGCAAACGGG
rnacentral:rRNA from 1 species